UGAGCUCAGGCAAGGCUACCCGCUGAACUUAA
rnacentral:rRNA from 8 species